rnacentral:lncRNA from 12 species
AUGCUGGACUGCGUGUUAUCCAACAUCCCUUCAGACUCUCGACUGAUACACAGUGAAACCCAAAACCAGGACCCAGUGCCUCUCUUCUCUGUACCGCCAACUCUGCCCCAUCAUGAAGAAGAACAUCAGUCUGGCCACGACUUCCAGGCAUCUGCUCCCAACACAGCCUCCCGCCCUCUCUACUCCAGGGACUACGAGAAAGCUCCUCAGUCGAAGACCCAGAGAUGCUGCUGCACGUGGAUCCUGGCCAAAUCUUGCUAUAGAGUCUGUGUGAGACACCAGGAAAUGGGGCUUGUCAGCGGGAUGUGCAAGACUGAAAAAUAAAACUGGUGUGUUUCAUGGGGGCAGGAACGGGAAGAAAGCCAGGAACGCCUUCCUCCCUCUGACAUGGUGCACUGCAUGUAGAUACCUAGCAAAGUUUGGGCAGGAGCACAGAAGCCUGCCUGACACCACUCUGAGGACCCCAGUGUUGGAGAGAAGCAAAGUGAGGGCCCAGGGCUCAGACAGCAGGGAGAAAGCAUCCAUGAUUGAUGGAGGGCAGGUGGAGACCCCAAGAGAAGCCUUGGUACCUCCCGUGUCAUGCAUAUUUACCUUGGCAUCCGCUGCACAUUCAGCUUAGUGGCACAGCUUAUGAAACAGGAAGCUGAGAGGAAUAUCCCCGCCCCCCCCCCAGAGUAAGAUGCAGGAAAAUUCUCCUGACAAUGAGCAGUUGUCAAACAAAGCAAGAGGAAGUGGGGUGGGGGGAACCCAGAGUCAUGCAUACUGUGGUGGAGGCAAAUCCCACCUCUGCCAUUAGCCAGCUGUGAGGCCCUCAGCGUCUCACCUGCCCCCUCUGAGAGUCAGGCCCCUUACCCGGAGAAUGGGACCCGACAACCUACCAGGUCAUGUUAUGAAGUGAACAAUACAAUCAAUGCGGUCAGGGCAGCACCUCGCACACCCAGACUAUCAGCAAGUGACUUCUCACAGCUGAGCAGAGGGACAACAAGCCCCUUCCCACCCCCGGCCCGGGUACUCUGCUUGGUUGGUGGACUUGCUGACCAUCAGAGCAUUUGAUUUUAGUUUCUCUUUGUAAAAAUUUAAUGGCGUCUCUCCCUCAAAAGAGAGACAGGUCCUCAGAAGCUAACAAGGCCUCAGAAGCUAACACACUCCAGACUGGCC